AAUGUCACAAGGACAACGGCGAUGUAUGAUGCUUGUUGAGGGAAGAAUGGUAAUGACAGGUGUAUGCAGAGAAACUUACAUGUCUCGAG
rnacentral:lncRNA from 1 species